ACUCCUGCGGGAGGCAGCAGUGGGGAAUUUUGGACAAUGGGCGAAAGCCUGAUCCAGCAAUGCCGCGUGAGUGAAGAAGGCCUUCGGGUUCUAAAGCUCUUUUGUCAGGGAAGAAACGGUGAGAGCUAAUAUCUUUUGCUAAUGACGGUACCUGAAGAAUAAGCACCGGCUAACUACGUGCCAGCAGCCGCGGUAAUACGUAGGGUGCAAGCGUUAAUCGGAAUUACUGGGCGUAAAGCGUGCGCAGGCGGUUUUGUAAGUCUGAUGUGAAAUCCCCGGGCUCAACCUGGGAAUUGCAUUGGAGACUGCAAGGCUAGAAUCUGGCAGAGGGGGGUAGAAUUCCACGUGUAGCAGUGAAAUGCGUAGAUAUGUGGAGGAACACCGAUGGCGAAGGCAGCCCCCUGGGUCAAGAUUGACGCUCAUGCACGAAAGCGUGGGGAGCAAACAGGAUUAGAAACCCGAGUAGUCCCAUGAU
rnacentral:rRNA from 1 species